rnacentral:rRNA from 1 species
AUUGAACGCUGGCGGCAGGCCUAACACAUGCAAGUCGAGCGAGCGGCGGACGGGUGAGUAAUGUAUGGGGCUCUGCCCGAUAGAGGGGGAUAACUACUGGAAACGGUGGCUAAUACCGCAUACUAUCGGAUGAAACCAUAGGGGAUUAGCUAGUAGGGGGGGUAAAGGCUCACCUAGGCGACGAUCUCUAGCUGGUCUGAGAGGAUGACCAGCCACACUGGAACUGAGCCACGGUCCAUACUCCUACGGGAGGCAGCAGGGGGGAAUAUUGCACAAUGGGCGCAAGCCUGAUGCAGCCAUGCCGCGUGUAUGAAGAAGGCCUUCGGGUUGUAAAGUACUUUCAGCGAGGAGGCGUUACUCGCAGAAGAAGCACCGGCUAACUCCGUGCCAGCAGCCGCGGUAAUUC